UACGUAGGGCGCAAGCGUUGUCCGGAAUUAUUGGGCGUAAAGAGCUCGUAGGCGGUCUGUUGCGUCAGGAGUGAAAACUCGGGGCUUAACCCCGAGCCUGCUUCUGAUACGGGCAGACUAGAGGUAUGCAGGGGAGAACGGAAUUCCUGGUGUAGCGGUGAAAUGCGCAGAUAUCAGGAGGAACACCGGUGGCGAAGGCGGUUCUCUGGGCAUUACCUGACGCUGAGGAGCGAAAGUGUGGGGAGCGAACAGG
rnacentral:rRNA from 1 species